rnacentral:lncRNA from 1 species
AGAUCAACCUUGUGAACUUUAGUUCUCCAUGAAAUCGUCUAAGCAAUAUUGUAUCAUCAAAAUUCAGAAUAAGAUUAUUGUAGUAGUGAAAGACCUAAUAUAAUAAAAGUUAAAUUUGGGUCCUUAUGGGAUCCGACCCAAAAAUUACAAAAAAUAGUCAAAACUAACUAUUUUAAUUAAGUCUGGAACUUCAACGAAUUAUUCAACUCUUCUUCACUCUGAAUCUGCUUUUAACUUCAACAUAAAACUUGUAUCUCUCUCUCUCUCU